rnacentral:rRNA from 1 species
GGAGUUUGGUCCGUGUCUCAGUACCAAUGUGGGGGACCUUCCUCUCAGAACCCCUACUGAUCGUCGCCUCGGUGGGCCGUUACCCCGCCGACAAGCUAAUCAGACGCAUCCCCAUCCCCCAGCGAUGAAUCUUUCCUCCUCAUUAGAUGCCCGCAAAGGAGAACAUAGGGCAUUAAUCCGACUUUCGCCGGGCUAUUCCCUACUGAGGGCCAGGUUGGAUACGCGUUACUCACCCGUGCGCCGGUCGCCAUCAAAGGAAGCAAGCUUCCUUCAUGCUGCCCCACGACUUGCAUGUGUUAAGCCUGUAGCUAGCGUUCAUC